CCAUGCCGCGUGCAGGAAGACGGCCCUAUGGGUUGUAAACUGCUUUUAUACAGGAAGAAACACUCCCUUGCGAGGGAGCUUGACGGUACUGUACGAAUAAGGAUCGGCUAACUCCGUGCCAGCAGCCGCGGUAAUACGGAGGAUCCAAGCGUUAUCCGGAAUCAUUGGGUUUAAAGGGUCCGUAGGCGGGACAAUCAGUCAGCGGUGAAAGUCUGUGGCUCAACCAUAGAAUUGCCAUUGAUACUGUUGUUCUUGAAUACUUAUGAAGUGGUUGGAAUAUGUAGUGUACGGUGAAAUGCAUAGAUAUUACAUAGAACACCGAUUGCGAAGGCAGAUCACUAAUAAUUUAUUGACGCUGAUGGACGAAAGCGUGGGUAGCGAACAGGAUUAGAUACCCUGGUAGUCCACGCCGUAAACGAUGGUUACUAGCUGUUCGGUCGCAAGACUGAGUGGCUAAGCGAAAGUGAUAAGUAACCCACCUGGGGAGUACGUUCGCAAGAAUGAAACUCAAAGGAAUUGACGGGGGCCCGCACAAGCGGUGGAGCAUGUGGUUUAAUUCGAUGAUACGCGAGGAACCUUACCAGGGCUUAAUG
rnacentral:rRNA from 1 species